GGAGAUUGGCGGCGGACGGGACGCUCGCCAACCCGGUCAGGUCCGGAAGGAAGCAGCCGUAACGAGAUAGGCCCGGGUCGACGGUUCAAUCUCCCAC
rnacentral:SRP_RNA from 1 species